rnacentral:rRNA from 1 species
UGCGUAGGCGGCCAUUUAAGUGAGAUGUGAAAGCCCCGGGCUUAACCUGGGAACUGCAUUUCAAACUGGAUGGCUAGAGUAUAUCAGAGGAAAGUGGAAUUUCCGGUGUAGCGGUGAAAUGCGUAGAUAUCGGAAAGAACAUCAGUGGCGAAGGCGGCUUUCUGGGAUAAUACUGACGCUGAGGCACGAAAGCGUGGGGAGCAAACAGGAUUAGAUACCCUGGUAGUCC